rnacentral:rRNA from 1 species
AGUGGCAGACGGCUGAUUAACGCGUAAGUAACCUGCCCGAGAGAGGGGGAUAACGCAGAGAAAUCUGUGCUAAUACCGCGUGUGCCUGGUGGUUGAAACGCCACCAAGUAAAGGUUUGGGAGACCAAUGCCGCUCUCGGAUGGGCUUGCGUCCUAUCAGGUAGUUGGUGAGGUAACGGCCCACCAAGCCAAAGACGGGUAGCUGGUGUGCGAGCAUGACCAGCCAGAGGGGGACUGAGACACGGCCCCCACUCCUACGGGAGGCAGCAGCAGGGAAUCUUCCACAAUGGGCGAAAGCCUGAUGGAGCGACACCGCGUGAGGGAUGACGGCCUUCGGGUUGUAAACCUCUUUUAUCAGGGAAGAGUAAGGACGGUACCUGAUGAAUAAGUCACGGCUAACUACGUGCCAGCAGCCGCGGUAAUACGUAGGUGGCGAGCGUUGUCCGGAAUUACUGGGCGUAAAGCGUCCGUAGGCGGACCAUUAAGUUUCUUGUGAAAUCUCCAGGCUCAACCUGGAACCGUCAAGAAAUACUGAUGAACUUGAGGAUGGCAGAGGCAAGCGGAAUUCCCGGUGUAGCGGUGAAAUGCAUAGAUAUCGGGAGGAACACCAGUGGCGAAAGCGGCUUGCUGGGUCAUACCUGA